AACGCGAAGAACCUUACCUGGGCUUGAACCGCACAGGACCAGCCUCAGAAAUGGGGCCUUCCCGCAAGGGACCUGUGUAGAGGUGCUGCAUGGCUGUCGUCAGCUCGUGCCGUGAGGUGUUGGGUUAAGUCCCGCAACGAGCGCAACCCUUACUCAUAGUUGCUACCCGCAAGGGAGAACUCUAUGAGGACUGCUCCGGAUAACGGAGAGGAAGGUGGGGAUGAGGUCAAGUCAGCAUGGCCUUUAUGUCCAGGGCUACACACGUGUUACAAUGCGCGCCACAAAGCGUUGCAAACCCGCGAGGGGGAGCUAAUCGCAAAAAAGCGCGCUCAGUUCGGAUUGCAGUCUGCAACUCGACUGCAUGAAGCCGGAAUCGCUAGUAAUGGCGCAUCAGAACGGCGCCGUGAAUACGUUCCCGGGCCUUGUA
rnacentral:rRNA from 1 species